rnacentral:rRNA from 1 species
CAGCAGCAGCCACGGUAAUACAGAGGGUGCGAGCGUUAAUCGGAUUUACUGGGCGUAAAGCGUGCGUAGGCGGCUUCUUAAGUCGGAUGUGAAAUCCCUGAGCUUAACUUAGGAAUUGCAUUCGAUACUGGGAAGCUAGAGUAUGGGAGAGGAUGGUAGAAUUCCAGGUGUAGCGGUGAAAUGCGUAGAGAUCUGGAGGAAUACCGAUGGCGAAGGCAGCCAUCUGGCCUAAUACUGACGCUGAGGUACGAAAGCAUGGGGAGCAAACAGGAUUAGAUACCCGAGUAGUCCCUGUCUCUUAUAC